CAUUCGAGUUCGAGACUUAUCGACUUUUGUGACGCACAUAAAUUCGCUUUGGAGCAGCAGGAUCGUCGCAUACAUUUUCAAACCAUUCAUAAAUAUCGUCUCAAAGUAUGUAAGAAAUUAUCGUUAAAUUACAAAAAUGUAAAUGCAACAAUUCGCAAUGACAAAUGAAAUUAUUUCGAUAUUAUUUCGUAUCGAUUUGUCAACGCAUAAAAUUUAAUUGAACAACAAAGAAGAGGAAUCAAUAAAAAAAAAAAAAACAAGAAGAAGAAGAAGAAAAGAACAAGAUUUUCAAAAUAUUUAAGCAAAAUGUAUUAUUGGUUGAUACGAGGUAACGAGAAUCAUUUGGUACAAGGUGCAGUAAAGAAUGAUGACGUCCCUGAAACCAGACGACAUUUUCGGAGGCCAAACGGCGUCUGAUCGGUUGUGUUUCUCCGCGCAAAUUGUAAUCGCGGUUUUUAUUGCAUCUUAAAAAAAAAGAAAAUUGUUGACUGUUGUGAGAGACACAUAUUCUUUGCCAUUAAAUGAUCUUUCUCUUUUCUUAGUGCAAUCGACAUUUUCCUGUCGUUCGUCAAAGAAGAGUGGAGAAAGACAGGGAGAGAGAGAGAGAAAAAGAAAAAAAAGGAGGGAGAAAGAAAGAGAGAGAGAGAGAGAGAGAGAUAAGAAAGAAACAAUUGAAAACUGCAAAAGACAAAUGACGCUUUGCCGCCUAGUUUGACCGAAUCUUUGACGUGACAUGUACGAUUUUAAUAUUUUGACUUAAAUGCGCGAGUGAAAUUUAAUGCGUGUGAUUUGUUAGACAUGCGAUCAAUGAUCAUAUAGAUCAUUAAGCAAGAUUUAUCAGUGAUUCAUAUACAUGAUCGAGCUGUAAAAACGAAGAGACAACGAGGUAACGUCUAUAUCCUUACCUCUUCAUAAUUUCCCCCUCAUACAUUGUCACUCUUUCUCUCUCUCUCUCUCUCUUUCUCUCUCUUUCUCUCUCUGAUCUUUUUCUUUCCCCUUUCUUUCCUUCUUUCUCUUUCGCGUACUCUCGCUCUCGCUCUUGCUCUCUAUCUGUAUAGGCAGGAUAUUCUACUACGAUCGUGUCGAGAAGAGUGUGGUGUACGAAGGUAUAACGGACAAUUGACACAGGUGAACAUUGGCACGAUCGAUAAGUUGCCGUGAAUGAUUUGAAAGUGUCAGUGAGCUUUGAUCAGAGUUGUCUUCUUCCUACAUGAAAUCUUCCUUGUGUGUCAUAUAAGGUAUCGAGCUAGAAAUAAGGAAAAAGAAAAAGACGAAAGAUGAUGAUGAUGAUGAUGAUGAUGAUGAGGAGGAGGAGGAGGAGUAGUAGUAGUAGUAGUAGUAGUAGUAGUGCGUGGUACGACACUGGUGCAUGUAAAGAAGAGAGAGAAAAAGGUAUCUAAAGCGAAAGAUAGAAGGAGUAAGGGAGAAAGCAGUGGCUGGUUCGAGGCCGAGAGACCGAACGAAACGGAGGAGUGAUGCCGUCAACGGGUCACGCACGAGAACGGAUCCGCUCUCCCGUCCUCGUACUCCGUCCACGCAUGCUAUGUACUCGUUUUCACGAGUAGAAACCUUUUCGAGGAGAGGACUUGGACACUGUGCGUCUGCAUUCGAAUAAGUCGUGACCGGUUGACGCGUACGUGCCGCUCUCUUCGUACCGCUCUCCGUACGACGGCCAUCUUGGAUUUACUAAGUGUCGCAUCGAACACCCGCGAAUAUCAAUUUUGUCGUCAUCGUAGUCGUCGUCUCUUUUUCCAAGUGAAUGGAGGAAGGAGGUCGAGCGGUGUGAAAAAAAAAAAAAAGAAAGGUGUUGGAAGGAACGCAAAGGAGAAGAAAACUCGAAAAUAAUACUUUCUGGAUAUAGACAGACGUACACAGUUUCGUUACGUUAAAAUGCGAAAUUAAUUUCAUUUGUCAAAGGAAAACGGACAGAGCUCAUAGGUUAAAACCAGGUAAAUGAUGAAAAUAGACUGAACAUUAUUUGAUUUAGUCGAAAGUGAGAUAAAAAUUAAGUUAGAUGUAGAAAACAAAGUGUUUCAAUUAACCUCGAAGAUAUGUCCUUAAUAUAAACUACGAAAAUGAGUGAAGUGUUGAAAGGAAGGAUCAAGUGCAAGGGAAAGUAUAAAAGUUGAAAGCACGUUUGACGUUGGAAUGGAUGGUACCGUUUUUGUCGUUCCCGGUGCGCGUGCAGUACGCGCCUGAAAAGAAAAGAAAAAAAAAACAUUUCAAGCUCUCCUUAUUCUUCUUGCACUUUCGGUACGUCCAAUUGUGUCGUCGUCGUUGUCAUUGACGAAUCAGGGAACGGACUGUUCUGCAAGCACACGCGUUCGUAAGUCGAUGAUAAAAGAACAGCUACUACUACGACGUGUCGACGACGUUCAACGAAUAAAACGUUAGUCAAUCUUACAACGUGAAAAUAUUCGUGCUCGUUUCGCUGUCAUAUUGUCACAUUUUCAAAAUAUAUAUAUAUAUAUACAUAUAUAUCACAAUAAAGUUACCUAUAGAUGAGGAAUCGCAUGAAACUAUUAUCACGUCUUGCGAAGAAUGACAAGGAGACUAUGAGCACGGCGGACACGGUCCUGUCAAUCAACGUCAAGAUGUCCCCAGGGCCGGACCAUCGUCAGGAACCGGUUGCACCUGACAAAAGCAACACUGAUAACAGUCGAACAGAAAUCGGCAAUGAUUCGGCUUCCGAAAGUACUAUACUCGGUACGCCAGAGGCCUUGGUAGUUCAGAAUAAUAAUCUUGAAGCAACUAGCAACCCGCGUAUCGAUACAAUUUCUGAGCCUACAAACGGUCAAGGUACAACACCUAACAGCGGCUCUGACAAUAAAAAGGGAAAAUCAACGGUCCUUGCCUUAGAUGAUGAUGGAUUACGUUCACUACUGAACGAAGCUUUAAAUUAUAAAAGACCUAAAGAUCGAGAAGGAAAAUCUAAUUUAUUUAAGGAACUCUUACAAGAAGCUGAAGCUGAUGAGACCGAAGAAGGUCGUAGGGUAGUGACUAAUUCACGGUGUCUCCCUGUUUCCACUCGUAGAAGGCAUAAACGAGAUUCUGUAUCAGAACGUCACAGACACGGUGGUUCUUUACAGAAUUUAGCACAACCUAUUGCAUCAGAGUUUGAUAGUAGUUUUGCUUAUCUAGCAUCUGGUUCUAGUCACACUUACGGAAGUGGUAAAAAAAAGAAUAAGAAAUAUACAGGUCCUAGUGUUUCUGCUAGGGAAAGAGAAGGUGGAUCUUUACCAUCUAAUGUUAACGCAUCCCACAGCCUUAUUUCUUUGGCCAACAGUCUUGUUUCUUUGGCCAAUCUUGAUCCCCUAUUUGACAACAAGAAGGGCUUUUAUGAAGAAAGAACAACAUAUGAUUGGACUAAUAAGGAGAAGUCAAAAUCUUUAGAUAAAUCGUCGAGUGUUGUUUCAUCAAAAAAAGAAGACAAAGAGAAAGACAAAAAAGAUAAUAAAAAGGAAUUUCUCACUAUAGAGGACUUUUUCGAAACUGAAAGUGAAUAUCGCGAGAGGAUAAGCAAGAAAGGAAAAUACGGGACAAAUGAGAUGCUUGAAUCACCACCAGAGUAUAAAUCUGAUUACACCGUUAUUGAUUUAAGUUAUGUCGAGGUAGGUGCUCUUAGCGAAAGGAAUGUUGGAUCUACAACAAGUGGGGUACAACAAAGACCUCACUCAUUAGACGCUGAAGAUGAGGGAAUUGAAAUGAAAAUAAUUGAACCACGUAGACAAUUUAUAGCACGUGCUACUGUUGAUAUAGCUCAAACUCCUGUAGAUACUACGAUAAAAUUUCCAAUUUGUGAUCAUAACGGUAAACAGGAUAAAUCAAAGAUAUCAGUUAGUGCUGAGGUGACGGGAACUUUUCCAUUUCAAACCUACAAUAGUGCGAAAUGUGUUAUUGGUGGUUCAGGAAACAGUACUAACAAUAAUCAAGGAAAAGGAAUCUCAAGUUUAUGUUCCAUGAUGCCAGCUUCAUGGCAGAUUCAAAAUAAUGCAUUAGAACUUCCAAGAUGUACAACACAGUAUGCCAUAAUGAAAGAUGCUACUUCUUCUGCGGAAAAGAAAUCUCUUGAUGAAAAUGGUAAUGCUGUACAAAAUUAUAAUGCAGAACGAAAGAAACGUGGAAAGAAGCAUAGACAGGAACCUAAUGUUACUGUUUAUAGCGCUGAAAGCGUUGUAGGACAUCGUAAUGAGGACGAUAUUGAUAGUUUACUUAACUUCAUCGAAAGCAAAGAAUCUAAAGGUAAAAAGAACAAAACUGGUAAUCCUGUCAGAGUGAAAUCUAGUUCUGGAACUAAACCUAGGACAAGAGAAAAGGAUUCUAAAAGAGAACAAUUAUCAAGUAAAUUACAAAAAUCAAAUUCAUUAGAGGAAAUAUCAAAAACGAAACUCGAGGAUCUUACCGCAGAACAAAGCAAUUGUUCUAGUGGCAAUAGCAGUAUCUCCAGUCAGCAUAGUAGUACAAUUAAUGUAGCAUUACGUCGUGCAAAACAAAGAAGUACAGGAGAUGCAGCGGUAGAUUGCCGUGGUGACAGACGUUCUUGGGGAACAGAGGAGGGUCAGUCUAUUUAUUGCAAUGAUACUGGAGACGAUUAUACUAGUCGUCGAAACUCUAACAAAAAAGUAAAUCCAGAACCAGAACAGGAGCCUGAAUUUUUAAUAGUUACUAAAAAGAAGAAGACUAAAAAACAACGUAGAAGUUCCAGUGGUAGUAGAGCGCAAAACUUAUCAACAACUGGAUCAUAUUUACAAAAUCCAAGAGGAUUUUCGAACGAGUAUAGAGCACCGUUGUCACCAGAACUCAGAAGAAAAUCUACUAGCAGUAUGCCACCAAGCGAUAAAUCUGAUAGCAGCGACUUGGAUUCGGUCCAUUCGUUACCUGUUACAUCGAAUACCUCGAAACAUAAUCUAUCGAAAACAGCAACCUCUUCGGGAGGAACACCACAAGCAAGUUACGCAGAUAUAGCUCGCAUGGCUACUAUGAAUAUGUCACAUAAUUCAGUUUUAAAUAUGCCAAUAGUUCCAAGUAUGUUAAAUACGUCAUCUUGGCCAAGAGUUCCAUCUAAAACUCCCUCAGAACCAGACAAAUUACCUCAAGAUUAUUAUCCAAGUUUGGAUGAAUUACAACACUCCGAUAGGAAACCAAAACAACAUGGUUUUGCACAUUCUAAUCAUGUUCACAAUGUUGGUCUUACUUUUGAAAAACCACCAUCACCAACUUUGUCGAAGAUUAAGAAUUCGUCAGAUCGAAAGAAGGCUGAAGCUCAAGAAGAGGCAAUUAAUAAGAAUAUGCAAGUUUUCAAAUAUUUUCAGGAUAUAGAAAAAAUGCAACAAAGUUUGACGCAACAGGAACAAAAACAUCUGAACAUAAUUAACUGUAAUCCACAUUCGAAUGAGUCAACACCAAAUGCAAUUCAAUCUAAAUUAAAUAACACUACUACUACUACUCCUACUACUAAUUCAUUCGAUUCUGAAAAUAACAAUCCUAAUUAUUCUAAUAACAAUAAAGAUAUUGUUGCGAAUACAAAAGUAAAUAAUCCACGAAAUAGGAGAAGUUAUUCGCAAAGUAAUCAAAAUAUACAAAAUCAACAAGAAGAAUUACAUUAUAGGAAAACUGGUUAUCAAGAUGAAAAUGUCAAGAAGAUACAUAACACAGAGAGUCCUACUGUAUAUUGUGAAACCAAAGCUAAUGUUAUAGGAACGAUAAUAGAUGAUAAUGAAGCUCCAAAACUUAAAGGAUUGAAUAAUCCAAAGUUGACACACGAAGUACAGAAUGUUGAUGCAGAUUCUGUUAAAACACCGAUGAAGAUAGACAAAAUGGUAGUAAAAACUGCGAAAGAGCAGUCUGGAAAAUCUGGAGUUGUAUUAUCUCAUAAUACAAAACAAGAUAAUCAACAAGAGGAUAAUGAAAAUAAAAAAUCAAAACCAUUGAUGUCUACUGAAAAUGAUAAAUUACAGAAAUCCGUAGAAACACAAGGAUCUACAAAGAAGAACAAUACUUCAUCCAGACCUGCAGUUAUCUUAUUGGAUGAGACAUCUGACUUUCUAAAAGGCAGUGAUUUACCAACAGAGUUAACAUUUGGGUUUGAGAUUAAUGAACUUUUACUUUCUGAAGAUUCUGUAGAGACUCCACCAGCAAAUCCUACAUUUCCAUCUUUGGUCCAACCACUUCUCAAUAAACCACCUCCAAAUUUUGACAACAGGCCACCUGCUAUCUACGACAAACAUGUGAGAUAUGAUAAAUUUCCUCCAAAUUUUCAUAUGCAAUCGCCUAACACUCACGUGGCUCAACAACCAGUACAUUCUGUGAUGGUUCCAUCUUUAACAUAUAUUGGAUAUCCAACAAGGUUUCCACCAGCAAUGUAUUCUCCACCAACACCACCACCACCUCCUGGAAUUAUAGAAAAAUACAAUCAUCAACCAAAGGAAGAUUUUGCCAUGUUGUAUGUAGCACCGGAAGAAGAUGUAAAUAUACAGAACUAUAAUCACGAUAAAAUUGUCUCGUUUGUUGGAUUGGCGUGGGAUGCUGUUAUGAGAGAGACAGCAGAAACGGGCAGAAUACAAUAUUACAGUGGACAGUGAAAUGGACUCAAUUCUACAGACAAAAAUAUACUAUAUACAGUUUGAUAUGAGUGAACUAUUAUCAUCUACACAUAAUAUUAAUUUACAUUCGGAAGAAGCUAUUUAACAUACAAAAUAUCAGAUAAGAUAUUUGAAACACACAAAGGUUGAUGUUGUAAAAAUGGAUGGAUGCAAAUGUUUCGAACAUUUUAUUAAUCAAGAUAAACACAUCAACAACAACAACAACUGUUGUCUGAAGCUGGAUUUCAUUAUUAAUGUUAUACCAGAAUAGCCGAAUGGCGCAGUGUGCCUCAAGAGAUAAAAUAAUGUAAAUAGGUCAGUUACCAAAAAAGAAGAAGAAGAAAAAAAAGAAACAAGAAAAAAAAGAAAAAAAAUGGAGACUGGAAAGGGAUACAUUUUUCAUCGAUGUACAUAGGAUAAUAAUUAUGCUUAUGCAAUUUUUGCAACAACAAAAAAAAAAAAAAGAAAAAAGAAAAACCAUAGCAACAUAUGAGAUAUAAUAAAAUAUUCAUUAAUAAUACCAUCUUUAACGAGAAAGAAAAUAAUGAAUUAAUAUAAUAAGAAAUGUGUAUGUUGCUCUUCUCUCUCAUAAAAUGAAGACUCAUUAAGGAGGAGAUAUACAUAUAACACAAACAAAGAAACAAAAUGGAAGAUAAAAGUGAGUAUCAACGAAGAAGGAUAUUUUGAAUAUCUUCAAUAUUCGUCUAAUUUAUUUGUUCUAAAUUUAAUGACGUUUAAUAAAUACGAAUGAAAGGUGUAAGAGAUAUGUUUUUUUUUUUUUUUUUAUAUAUAUAUUAAUUUUUGUAGACGUAAAUUUAAACAAUUAUCCGGAUUGUACAGUUCGUUCAACAACAUCGAUUAGAUCUAAAAAAAUAUAUGAAUCUUUGAACAAUAAAACAAAUACAACUUGUUGUUUGAUCAACAACAAAUCAAUUUGUAAUAAUGAAUAUCAAAAAAAGGUAAAGGAAUAUUUUAACGAUGAUUUAGAUAACAUUAAAUAUUCUCGUGAAGAUGUUGUAAAUGUUGCUGAAGAAAGAAAUAUUCAUCAUAUCGAUUUCAAUUCUGUUCAAAAUACUAAUACUACGAAUUUGUUUGAAAAACACGUUCCUUUGAGGAUUUUAAUAAAACAGAUGAUUGAUGAAAUAUUUGGAAAAUCUUCAAUCAACGAUAAAGAAGAAGAAAACGUUGAAGAAAUUGAUUUGCAUAAUACAAGUGAUAAAAUUAAUCAUUCUGA
rnacentral:misc_RNA from 1 species